AGUCUAAUUCAAGAAAAUUAUGGUGCAGUUAUCAGGGCACACCAUUCAAAAGCAUUAGAUUGGGGGGCCAUCCGCCAUUUAUUGCAUGUUGCUUUCAGUGAAGUCAAAUUCAUCACGGCCAUCUAAAAAGAUGUACAGAAGAGUGGCCACCACAGCACGACAACAGUAGCAAUGGUGGUGUUUCGGGAUCACUGACAUGGGAAGUGUUCUUCUGUUGGCAUUUCUUGUUUGCUUCGCUAGUGUUGAGGGGAUCAUGUUGAGUGCUGCUCAUUUCGUUCAAGCAAUUUCCAGCAGUGAUUGGCACUGAUGCAGUCAAGAAUAAAGACAUUUCACAAUUAGAGCAGUGAUUUUGGGAGGUUCAAUCUAUACACUAGCAAGUUUUCAAUCUUUGGCAUUCUGCUUGAAAGAAAAGAGGGGAUGAGGGAAAAUGAAAAAGAUAGAUUAUGCCAAUUGAACUUAGCUUGAAUCAUGUUGUUCCAUCUGAAAGUGUUUAGCAACCUUCUAAUUUAGUCCAUGACAGUUUUCCUUUGUUUACAAGUCAUUCUUUGCUUGGCAA